rnacentral:tRNA from 1 species
GUCCUCGUAGUUCAACGGAUAGAAUAUCUCCCUCCGAAGGAGAUGAUGUGAGUUCGACUCUCGCCGAGGACA